CAGUGCUAUAAAAGCGGGCGCUCCUUCUUCCUCGUCCUCUUUCGCCGCGCAGCACGUGGAUGACACAGCUUCUUCAGACACAAAGACGAUUUUAGCGCGAUUAAAACAUGUUUAUAAUGAAUUGCACGCGAAGAUACGAACACAGCGCUUUCAGACCUCCUUGAUAAAUGCUGAAUUGAAUGUAACGAGAUGAGGAUUGUCUGGUUUACUGUGUGCGCUGUUCACUUACAUGGUCUGAAUCUGAUUCAGUACUGAUCAGAUGGAGCAGAAAUACCACGAGGUCUCCUGCUUCACCUGGAUUCACUGCUGUGAACGUCUGAAUCUGAUUCAGUGCUGAUCAGAUGGAGCAGAAACACCACGAGGUCUCCUGCUUCACCUGGAUUCACAGCUAAACUUUGUGUUGGAGAGUGACAUCCGAGCAUGAGAAUAACUGAAGUGUCUAUGGUCAUGUGUUGAAGACCGAGUUGUACGACGUUUUCUUCAGGGUGUCCAGGAAGUACUGCUCCUCUUGCAGGAAGUCUCUGUCCUGUUAGAGAAAUAGACAGAACUUUAGUGUGGGUGGGAUGUUGUCCAUUUAGGGCAAUGUCAACUAUUAACUCAGUGUUUACAUUAAAAUAAAAUUUCCCAAUGAUUGUACUGGUUUUUAGUGAUUUGCGAAAUUGUCUGCAAUUACUGUGGAUUUAAUGAAGCAUUUUAAGAGUUAUAAAAUGCAUUGCUUCAGUUAAGUAUAAAUCUAAUUGCAUCUACAAUAAAGUUCUCAAGUAAGAUAAAAUGAGUUCCCUGUGAAGGCAAGAACUUAAUCAUCUGCUAUUGCAAUGAAUGGACAUUAUGGGUUAACAGUAAUAUCCUAGAGGCACGUUUCAACCCCUGAAUUAAAAAAAGUAAUUGCAACUUUACAUCUUGCAAUUCUGACUUUUUCUUAGAAUUGUGUGGUAUAAUCUCAAUUAGGGAUGGGUGAUACCACUUUGUUUUCGAUACAAUACCGAUACUUUUAAGGCCAAUAUUGCCGAUACGAUGCCUCUAAUCUGAACUUAAUGGCUUAAGUCCUUAAACCUGAAUUACUAUGAGUAAAAUGGGUAAUGAUACCCACUAAACAUUAUAUUUGAAAGGUAUUAAGAUUCAAUACACCUUAAUUGCAAUUUUAUUAUAUUUUUGUUUACACAUGGUUAAUGUUUACUUGUAGUAACCAUGGAAAUCUACAAAUACUGUAGGCCUAGCUGAACUAUGGUCAGUGUAGUAAUGGUUCAUUUACAUAAGGGACUGCCAGUGACAGGCUGUUGUACCCAUAAAAUGCAAACUUUGUAUUCUGACAGUGUAGUUACAGAAGAGCACAUCAAUACAAACUUUUAACGUUCAAUUUAAAUAAAUGUAAUUGCAAAAACUA